AAGACAUGCAAGUCGAACGAAGUACACCAUUGAAGUAAAUUGAAAUUGGAGAGCUUGCUCAAAGAUGGAUAUUUAUGGAUUUGGAUCCUGUACUUAGUGGCGGACGGGUGAGUAACACAUGGGUUAUCUGCCUUUAAGUUGGGGGACAACAGUUGGAAACGACUGCUAAUACCGAAUGUGACAGAAAUGUUAAAGGAGCUCUAAAGCUUCGCUUAAAGAUGAGCCUGUGGCGUAUUAGCUAGUUGGUGGGAUAAUGGCCUACCAAGGCAAUGAUGCGUAGCCGGACUGAGAGGUCGAUCGGCCACACUGGGACUGAGACACGGCCCAGACUCCUACGGGAGACAGCAGUUAGGAAUAUUCGGCAAUGGGGGAAACCCUGACCGAGCAAUGCCGUGUGAGUGAUGAAGGCCCUUUGGGUUGUAAAACUCUUUUAUUUGGAAAGAAUUGUAAGUAUAGGAAAUGAUGCUUACUUGACGGUACCAUUUGAAUAAGCCCCGGCUAACUACGUGCC
rnacentral:rRNA from 1 species